GCUGAAAUCGAAUCAACGCAUUCCAUUUUCGAGAAUAGAAUACACUGGCUAUUAUAGUGUCGUCGCUAUUAGUACGCGUAUACCACGGACACGAGCCCCUAUUAUCGUUCGUUUCUCGUAUUUAGGAUAUAUUAACAUCGACGAGCAUCCGUUUCGUGUUAUUACUUGUUAAUUAAGUUGUAUCUCUGAAAAUUUAUUUUUUAGAAAUUUUACGUUUCUCAAUGGACAGUUCCCCAGUCGUCCUCGCUUUCGACUGUAUUCCUUACACUCGGUUCGUUUACUUUAUUAUUGGAAUCGGAUUUAUAAUCGCGCUAAUAGCGUUCAAACGGGUCGAAUAUUUUUACAUAGUUUCGAGCGAAACAAUAUAUGGGUUGAGUUUAUACACGUAGUACGAUGCGAAGUAGUAGAAGAAGGAGCAUUAGAACCGUCAAAGUGAUCGAGAAUAGAGACACGCGCGCACACAUACACACACACACACACACACACACACAUGCAUAUAUAUACAUACACACGUAGAUUCAUACGCACGCGCGCCAACGCGAAUAUACAAAGGAAGAGGGAUAGGAAAGGGAAAGACACGUUUAAUGGUAAAAAGAGAGAAAAAGAAAGAAGAAGGAAAAGCUUGUACGGCAAGUACCAAUUGAUGAUAUCACUACGAUCUAAGCUUUUUAAUGUUUAACGGUACAUAAAUAAAAUAGUGAAUAUCAAGGUACUCAACCUACCCUAAUAAAAAAAAAAUAUAUACCAUAAUAAUAGCUAUAAAUUCAUAUAAAUAUUAAUGUAUACAUAUACAUAUAAAUGUAUAUAAACGAAGGUAAACGAAAAUUGUAAACAAAACCGAAAACAAAUACAACUAUUUUAUCCAACAAAGUUUUUGCUACAACCGAAGUAGUAUGCAUCUUGCUAUGGAAUAAAUAUGAGACUUAAGAAAGAAGUAAAAACGAGAGAGAGAGAGAGAGAGGAGGAGCAGUAGUACAUCACGAAACACAUCAAAAUCACGUUAAUCAUCGAAGAAGCGUCAGGCGAGUCACUCAAGCUCGUUCUUCCUUUCCUUUUCUAUACACCCUCUCAGUUUCUUUUCCACCCGAUUAUAAGACAAGUUAUCGAUAAGAUUGCUUUCUCGAGAGAGAAAAAAAAAAACAACAUUCUCAUGCGCGCGCGCGUACGCCAGAUAAGAAGUGGAGCAAAUUAGCGAAUUAGUUGAGAAAUUGUACUUUAAAAAAUAGAUUUGCAGUUACUUAAUGAUAAAUCGAAGAUGAAGAAGAAGAAGAAGAAGAAGAAAAAGAAGAAGAAUAAUUAAAAAGAAAAAAAGAAAAAAGAAAAAAAAGGAACAUUAAUUAAUAAAAGUAAAAAAUCGGCGUUAUUUCAGACAAGUUCAAGCCGACCGAUGUCAAUUCCUUCAGGUACGCUUAUGCGUUAUCGCGAGAACAAUGCGAAGAAAACAAAAUAAAAUUCGGUUUUUUCUAAACGUACCAAAUCGAUGUCUUUUCAUUGCGACUGUAUUAACGUUUAGGAUCGGACACACGAUUGUUGUAGUCGUUGGUCAUCCAAAAUUACUUUAGGACAUUUGUUCGAGUGUUGUAGGUACGAGAGUUAAAAAAAAAAAAAAAUAAAGAAAAAAAAGAAAAAAAGAAGAAAAAGUAAAGAAAAAGAAAAGAAGAAGAAGAAAAAAAAGAAAAAAGGGGGGAAAAAGAAAAAAAAUAUAAACGAAAUAAAUAAAUCACACGUGUAAUCUUGUAUAUUUACCCGGCCACAUUUCGAUCGACUAUCCGGGACCAAUCAUACUUUCCGACACGAAACAACAAGCGUUUCCUAGCUCUGCCGUUCGGUAUGCAAGAAAAUUUUCUUAGGCGAAUACAAAGAGGACAAAGAGAAAGAAAAGAAAGGGAAGAAGAGAGAAGAGAAAAGAAAACUUAUUUAGAUAGCGUAAAAAAAAAAAAAAUAAUAUAUAUAUAUAUAUCGCGACGAGGGAUACAAAAUUUCACAAUUUCUUCAGUUCCACACUUUUUAUCCGGAGAUAAUAAUUUCACGGUACCCGUCUUGGACCAACGACGUACGGAAUCACGGAAGCGUGCAGAAGAAUAAGGCUUUUUGCCGUGCGGAUGGAAUACGUCUGAAGCAGAACAACGGCGCGAGGAAACUCGCAACGAUCCACAUUUUACCGAGCUUAAAACAGUCGCCGAGUCUUUCUUUCUCUGAUCGUGCGCGAUCAACCAACAAAGCAAAGAGUCUUCUUCCUCCUGCGCGAAAUUACGAAAAGAAAGAAAAUGCAGAAGAAAAUCUCGAACUCGUUUGAUCAGGCGAUCGCCCUUUCCCCUUCGAUCGUAUCUCAACGUACGUGGUGUACGACGAUGCACCGUUCCUCGAUCAUCAAGUAUUGGGAAUAUAAUCGGGGAGGGAAGGAACAGGCGUCUUCAUAGAACGAAUGGAUCUCCCCUUGGAGUUGGUUGUUAGGAUUGAUUGUUGAGAGAAUUCCGUUGUUCUUCGUUCUUCUGCGAAUUUCCGAUUGGCGAGAGUUGCGUUUCGAAGUGAACGAGAUCGGGGAUAGAAUAAAACUACGUGCGUCUACUCGGUCUAUUCGGGAAAAGUUGAGAGAGAAGAGGGAAUAACGAUGUUGUUGCUACGUGUACGCGUCAUCACUGUGGAGGAACGCGUGAUCGAUGUCGAUUGACGAGGAUGAUUUCGUUUUGAAAACGUUUUCCUUUUCUUUUUUCCGUUCAAGGGACUCGAUGUGUCGGUAUUCGAGACCAAUCGCGAUUGGAACGGUAUAUAUACAUGUAUACCUUGCACACGUGUGCACACGUGAGGGAGAAAAGAUGAAUUAAAUUAAAAAAAAAAUAAAUAAAAAAAUAAAAAAAAAAACAAGAAGGAUAAUUAAGUAAUUGACACCGUGUGUUGCACACACGAAUUAUUAGAACGAAAUAAUUCGGCACGUUACGAAUCGUCGAUUCGUGGCGUCGGUUGAGUCGGUGAUCGUUUGAGAGAGAGAGAGAGAGAGAGACGUACGCGUACGUCCGAUGUAACGGUAUUAUUAUAUUAACGGUGAUAUAUAACGUAAUAACGUGAAGCGCGAAAGAAUGGUUAACACGAAGAGAAUUCUCGUCGUAGUUGUAAAUAGUUAGUACGGCUUCUAAAUUGUCUUCGUAGCCGUGGCGGGUUGUCGGUAAAAUUUUAAAAGAAAGAAAGAAAAGAAAAGAAAAGAAAAGAAAAGAAAGAAAAAAAAACAGAAAAAAAAAACUGAGAAACUGGGGAUGACGGUCGUGGUGUUACGAAAUGUUAAUUAUUUCACGGCAGAAGAGAAGUGUGUAAAGUCGGUGUAAAAUAAAGUUAUAUCGAAUCGCGAUGCGAUUUGGUGUUAAUCGUUAUCGCAUCCCGCCUCGAGAACUCGGUUGCAGUUCGGCCGUUUCUACCGGCGAAAAAAAAUAGAAUUGUUAUUGUAAAAGUCUACGAGAGGAAUGUACGAAAGA